UACAGAGGUCUCGAGCGUUGUUCGGAUUCAUUGGGCGUAAAGGGUGCGUAGGCGGCGGGGCAAGUCUGAUGUGAAAUCCCGGGGCUCAACCCCCGGAACUGCAUUGGAUACUGCCUUGCUAGAGUACUGGAGAGGGAACUGGAAUUUCCGGUGGAGCGGUGAAAUGCGUAGAGAUCGGAAAGAACACCAACGGCGAAAGCACUCUGCUGGGCCGACACUGACACUGAGAGACGAAAGCUAGGGGAGCGAAUGGG
rnacentral:rRNA from 1 species